GGGGAAUAUUGCACAAUGGACGAAAGCCUGAUGCAGCAACGCCGCGUGAGGGAUGAAGGCCUUCGGGUUAUAAACCUCUUUCAGUAGGGAAGAAGCGCAAGUGACGGUACCUACAAAAGAAGCACCGGCUAACUACGUGCCAGCAGCCGCGGUAAUACGUAGGGUGCGAGCGUUAUCCGGAAUUAUUGGGCGUAAAGAGCUUGUAGGCGAUUUGUCGCGUCUGCCGUGAAAAUCCGGGGCUCAACUCCGGACUUGCGGUGGGUACGGGCAGACUAGAGUGUGGUAGGGGAGACUGGAAUUCCUGGUGUAGCGGUGAAAUGCACAGAUAUCAGGAGGAACACCGAUGGCGAAGGCAAGUCUCUGGGCCACUACUAACGCUGAAAAGCGAAAGCGUGGGGAGCGAAC
rnacentral:rRNA from 1 species